rnacentral:lncRNA from 1 species
UGACAAUAAACUGUUUAGAACCAUGGGCUGUAUCUUUUCAUCAAGAUCUGCAGUGAGGAGCCAUGAAGGAGGCCUUCACCUACAGAGUCUUAGCCUAAUCUCCCGUAGAAGGCCCCUCUACGCCACAACAGCCAUCAAGCCUGCCUCCACCUAGAUAAAGACAAUCACCACAUGAGACAAGCCUUGUGCCCCAGCCCCAGGCUAGAUGGUAUAUCCCCAGCCCACGGAUCCCACACUCUGUUCUCUGCUCUUUGGUGACUCCCAGUGGUGCCUGGAUAUCCAAGAGUCUGAGAAGAACCCCACAGCCCCAGCCUUGUCACAGGCCCAGGGACCCCAAGCCAGCUCCAAUUUCCCAUGUCUCAGACUGCACCUUCCCACCCCCAGAUCUGUGUCUUGCCACUUUCCUACAGCUCAGCACCCACCUCAGCAGUGGCGGCAUGGGGUAAGCACAGUCAAACUCCCAGCAUUCCACCCAGUGUCAGAGUAGACACAGGCAAACAACCCUACAAGACAUCUCAGAAGUUCUGCUCUCAGACAUGGUGUCUGGGGAUGCUUGCCAUAGAAUACAAGCUAAGGACUUUCCCAAGGAGGACCUUCCCAAGUCUGCCCACCUCAUAGUCUUUUUGGUCUCACGAGCUGUGAUGACCUACUUUGUCUGGGAAAUUAACAGAUCAGGACCCAAGUGGACAAGAAAGUUGUGGAGGCUGAGGGCACCAAGGAAGCACCUCUGUGGUAGUUGCAGGCAUGUGUGCUGUGCAGCACUCUUCAACCUAAGAGCACCAAAACCUUCUCUGCCGAGUGUAUCAGCAACAAAUGCAAAGGCCACUUCCAUAAGAUCUGGUCACCCACAGUAUCACUCAUACUAAGGUGCCAGGGAUUGAACUUGGAUCACCAGGCUUGGAGGCAAGCACCUUUGACAUACUAAGCCACUGCCGUCCAUAAGAACAUUACACAAAGACCUGGAAUCUUCAAAGCCAAACUGUGUAUGAUACACAGAAGUGGGAAAGAGGCAAAUCAUUUAUUUGUUACUGGGUAUUUUUUCUUGUGGGAAAAAAGUUUUUUGUUAAUUCACUCAACACAUUUAUUGAGAGAUGCAAGCCAUCAAAGAAAUGGCCCCUCCAGAAACUAGACACUACAGACCAAGGGUGAACGCCUAGACUGGAUCACCGCAGCUCAGGAAGAGGCUGCAGAAACAGAAAGUGCCCUAGAUCCUUGAAGACUUUACAAUUGUUUAAAAUCACUUAAACUCUCUGGUAAAAGAUAUAGAUACUGGCUAAUUAUUACAUAAUUUAUUUUUAUUCAUAACUCUGUAUACUGUUAAUUCUUAAAGUAAUUUCAUUCUUCCUAAUCCAUUAUUAAAAUAUUUUUUUCAUGCCCAUU